UCGCUGUCGCCCCCUCGAGCCAGCUAUAUGAUUACAGUAAUUACUCAGCGACGUACGUCUACAUGAAGCAUACAUACGUCUGCCACGAUUCGAUGAAAAAAUUCUGCCGCUUUAUUCGAGAAGUAAGGAAAGAUUAUCAGUGACGGGAACACAGUGCUCUCAUUCUGAAUUUUCCGGUGCUUGGAGGUUGACGGAGACAUGAACACGUUUCAAAAAAGGCGAUACUUCAGAAUCUCCAGCUGACAAUACACGCAGAUCAACAACCCGUUGAACAAAGAGUCGCAACCAACGUGCAUCAUCGUAUCCAAAGUCAGAGUCACGUAUUGGCAAAGGCAUGAAUGGCUCCUUUCGCAAAGCUUUUACCAGGAUCAUGAUACUUCUUCUAUUCACUAAGAAGCUGUACAUCUUGCAUACACCUCCGAACACAGAGACCGUGAAGAAAAUAUUGUCGCUGAAAUCUUCCUGAGUUUCGACGUUCAAUACUAUGUCGAGAAAGUGCGACACCAAAGCAGACAUCAAGAGACUGCCGAUUGCCGUCGAGUACACCGAAU